UUGAACGCUGGCGGCAUGCUUUACACAUGCAAGUCGAACGGGGUGAGGGGGCAACCUCUCAUUCAGUGGCGAACGGGUGAGUAAUGCAUCGGAACGUGCCCAGUAGUGGGGGAUAACGCACCGAAAGGUGCGCUAAUACCGCAUACGCUGGAAGCAGGAAAGCGGGGGACCGAGAGGCCUCGCGCUAUUGGAGCGGCCGAUGUCCGAUUAGCUAGUUGGUGGGGUAAAGGCCCACCAAGGCGACGAUCGGUAGCUGGUCUGAGAGGAUGAUCAGCCACACUGGGACUGAGACACGGCCCAGACUCCUACGGGAGGCAGCAGUGGGGAAUUUUGGACAAUGGGGGCAACCCUGAUCCAGCCAUGCCGCGUGAGUGAAGAAGGCCUUCGGGUUGUAAAGCUCUUUUGUCCGGGAAGAAAAGGCGUCACCUAAUAGGGGGCGUUCUUGACGGUACCGGGAGAAUAAGCACCGGCUAACUACGU
rnacentral:rRNA from 1 species